AGGGAAUAUUGGACAAUGGGGGCAACCCUGAUCCAGCCAUGCCGCGUGAGUGAAGAAGGCCCUCGGGUUGUAAAGCUCUUUUGUCCGGAAAGAAAAGCAUUCGGUGAAUACCCGGAUGUUCUGACGGUACCGGAAGAAUAAGCACCGGCUAACUUCGUGCCAGCAGCCGCGGUAACAAGAAGGGUGCAAGCGUUACUCGGAAUUACUGGGCGUAAAGCGUGCGUAGGUGGUUGUUUAAGUCUGAUGUGAAAGCCCUGGGCUCAACCUGGGAAUGGCAUUGGAAACUAGGCAGCUAGAGUGCGGUAGAGGGUAGUAGAAUUCCCGGUGGAGCAGUGAAAUGCGUAGAGAUCGGGAGGAACAUCUGUGGCGAAGGCGACUGCCUGGACCAGCACUGACACUGAGGCACGAAAGCGUGGGGAGC
rnacentral:rRNA from 1 species